AAAGCCAGUGGCGCGAAGCUACCGUGCGCUGGAUUAUGACUGAACGCCUCUAAGUCAGAAUCCGGGCUAGAAGCGACGCAUGCGCCCGCCGCCCGAUUGCCGACCCUCAGUAGGAGCUUCGGCUCCCAAAGGCACGUGUCGUUGGCUAAGUCCUUUCGGCGGAAGCGCCGUUUGGACCGCCUUGAAUUACAAUUACCACCGAGCGGCGGGUAGAAUCCUUUGCAGACGACUUAAAUACGCGACGGGGUAUUGUAAGUGGCAGAGUGGCCUUGCUGCCACGAUCCACUGAGAUUCAGCCCUUUGUCGCUAAGAUUCGACCCUCCCCAAUUCAACCAAAUCAAAUGUUCCUCCCAAAAGAUAAGUCAUAACAAAGUUUCCCAAAAAAAUCUCAAGUAUUUAUAAGUAUCUUUGUCGAGGUUAUGAUUUUAUACUUGGUGAAAAUCCUAUCCAUUUUUUAUGACCAAGUGCCAUUAAUCAACCCGGAAAUCAGUUAAGAGGGUCAACAAGAGGGAAUACACUCAGACCAGAUGAUCUGAAAAAUGAAAAGGAAAAAAAAAAAUACUUGAAAGACUUAAAUGAAAAAAAGUCAAGUGGUUUUGUUUAGGAGUAAAGACCAUUCAAAAUCAAAUCCCCUUACCUCAACAAUUUUUAACAAAGGUUCAAGUGUUAAAUGGUUGUGUUUUUGGAAUAAAUAUCAUCCAAACUCAAAUCCCCUCAACAAUGGGGUAACAUAGACAAGAAUCUCGACCAACCAUUGAGAAUCUAUUGACAUGAACUAAUUAAAUCCUCUAAAAUGUGUACAAAGAGAGAUUGGGAAGGUGAAGUUUUGGCCGAGAAAAUCCUUACCGGGUGGAUUUUGGCCGAGAGAAUCCUUACCGGAUCGAUUUUAGCCGAGAAAAUCCUUACCGGGUGGAUUGUGGCCGAGAGAAUCCUUACUAGCCGAUAAAAACCUUACCGGGUGCAUCCAGUUUUCGUUUUAGCCGAGAAAAUCCUUACCGGGUGAAGUUUUGGCCGAGAAAAUCCUUACCGGGUGGAUUUUGGCCGAGAGAAUCCUUACCGGAUCGAUUUUAGCCGAUAAAAUCCUUACCGGGUGGAUUUUGGUCGAGAGAAUCCUUACCGGAUCGAUUUUAGCCGAUAAAAUCCUUACCGGGUGCGAGCAGUUUUCGUUUUAGCCGAGAAAAUCCUUACCGGGUGAAGUUUUGGCCGAUAAAAUCCUUACCGGGUGGAUUUUGGUCGAGAGAAUCCUUACCGGAUCGAUUUUAGCCGAUAAAAUCCUUACCGGGUGGAUUUUGGUCGAGAGAAUCCUUACCGGAUCGAUUUUAGCCGAUAAAAUCCUUACCGGGUGGAUUUUGGUCGAGAGAAUCCUUACCGGAUCGAUUUUAGCCGAUAAAAUCCUUACCGGGUGCGCGCAGUUUUCGUUUUGGCCGAGAGAAUCCUUACCGGAUGCGCACCUGGUAAGGUUUUUAUCGGCUAAAAAUCCAAAUUUCAAAAAAUUUCGAAAAUUGUCGAAUUUAAUGUGAAAUUUCUGAACCAAAACGUCACAAAUAUAUUAAUAAAGAGUUUAGGAUGAAGAUGAAGGAUCAAAUGUUGAUAGUUGCUUCAGAUUGGGCCAUAAUUAUCCGAUUCUUGUAAAAUACCAAAGAUAUAGCUAGAGUGCUCAGAAAAUUAUGAAAUUUUACCAGAAAAUAGGUUUCAUCACCCUUAUGAAGCAUGCAAAAAAUCAGAUCAAAAUUCCAAGUAUAAUUUUUUUUAUAUCAAAUCCGGCACCUCAGGAAAAUCAAUGUAUAGUGGUGGCAAAGUAGCAAAGUAAAAAUGUGCAUAAGAACUAUGUAUAGGGGGGUGACCUCCUGAGGGUUGGAUGACCGAACGGGAUAAGGGGUAUCGUAAGGGUUGGUGGUGCAUGAUCGUGCAUGAUCGUCCGAGGGUAUAUGACCGGUCGCCGGAGUCGACCACCGGGUUUACCGCCGGAAAAUUUUUUCGACGAUUCGUUCGGAAUUUAAUUUCCAAUCGAUAUUGUUGAUUUUGCCUAGUUGGAUGGUCGUGUUUUUCAGGGGAAUGCAUGGAUCCAACUAGGCAUUAGUCCGAGAUGAGUGAACAAUGCGUCCCCUGCGUAUUGUUCGGACGGUGACCCACGGUCAUCAAUACACUCGCCUAGUUGGAUGGUCGUGUCUUUUGGGGAAAGACAUGGAUCCAACUAGGCAUUAGUCCGAGGUGAGUGAACAAUGCUUUCCCCAAAGCAUUGCUCGGACGUGUCCCACGGUAAUCAAUUCACUCGCCUAGGUUGGAUGGUCGUGUCUUUGUUGGGAAGUCAUGGAUCUGCCUAGGCAAUGGGUUUAGCUGAGUUGGAGUGUGUCGCCCAUGGACACUUAUUCAGCAACAACGGUGACCCGACAAAUUUAAGCUCGGGAACCGGCCGUAACGAAUUCUAUUGAUCGAAGGUAUGAUACUGCGACCGGGACCUGCUAUUGAAAACGUCGAUUCCAACGAGGUAGGGACAUGG
rnacentral:lncRNA from 1 species